rnacentral:rRNA from 1 species
UUCCGGUUGAUCCUGCCGGAGGUUGCUGCUAUUAGGGUUCGAUUUAGCCAUGCAAGUCUGAUAGCAAUAUCGGCAGAAUGCUCAGUAACACGUCACUAACUUGCCCUAUGGUCGUUGAUAACUUCGGGAAACUGAGGGUAAACAACGAUAAGAGAAUUUUCCUGGAAUGGUCUUUCUCCGAAAUUCGUGCCAUAGGAUAGGGUGGCGGUUGAUUAGGUAGUUGGUGGUGUAAUGGACCACCAAGCCGAUGAUCGAUACGGGCCUUGAGAGAGGUAGCCCGGAGAGGGACACUGAGAAACUGGUCCCAGCCCUACGGGGUGCAGCAGGCGCGAAACCUUUACAAUGCACGCAAGUGUGAUAAGGGGACCCUAAGUGCUCAUGUUUUACAUGGGCUUUUGCCAAGAGUAAAUAUCUUGGAGAAUAAGUGGUGGGUAAGACUGGUGCCAGCCGCCGCGGUAACACCAGCGCCACAAGUGGCAACCACGUUUAUUGGGCCUAAAGCGUCCGUAGCCGGUUUGAAAAAUCUCUUGUGAAAUCGUCAGGCUCAACCUGACGGCGUGCAUGAGACACUCUCAAACUCGAGACCGGGAGGAGUCAAAGGUAUUUCAAGGGGAGCGGUAAAAUGUGAUAAUCCUUGGAAGAUCACCUAUGGCGAAGGCAUUUGACCAGAACGGAUCUGACGGUCAGGGACGAAGGCUAGGGGAGCGAUCCGGAUUAGAUACCCGAGUAGUCCUAGCAGUAAACGCUGCGAGCUAGAUGUUGCACUUCUCACGAGGAUGUGCAGUAUCGAAACGAAGGUGAUAAGCUCGCCGCCUGGGAAGUACGGUCGCAAGACUGAAACUUUAAGGAAUUGGCGGGGGAGCACCACAAGGGGUGCGGCGUGCGGUUUAAUCUAACUCAACGCAGAGAACCUUACUAGAAGCGACGGCAGGAAGAAAGUCAGUCUGAAGGGCUUACUUGACGAGCCGAGAGGUAGUGCAUGGCCGCCGUCAGCUCGUGCCGUAAGGUGUCCAGUUAAGUCUGGCAACGAGCGAGACCCA